rnacentral:rRNA from 1 species
GAUGAACGCUGGCGGCGUGCUUAACACAUGCAAGUCGAACGGAAAGGCUCCUGCUUGCAGGGGUACUCGAGUGGCGAACGGGUGAGUAACACGUGGGUGAUCUGCCCUGCACUUCGGGAUAAGCCUGGGAAACUGGGUCUAAUACCGGAUAGGACGAUGGUUUGGAUGCCAUUGUGGAAAGUUUUUUCGGUGUGGGAUGAGCUCGCGGCCUAUCAGCUUGUUGGUGGGGUAAUGGCCUACCAAGGCGUCGACGGGUAGCCGGCCUGAGAGGGUGUACGGCCACAUUGGGACUGAGAUACGGCCCAGACUCCUACGGGAGGCAGCAGUGGGGAAUAGUGCACAAUGGGCGCAAGCCUGAUGCAGCGACGCCGCGUGGGGGAUGACGGCCUUCGGGUUGUAAACUCCUUUCGCUAGGGACGAAGCGCAAGUGACGGUACCUGGAGAAGAAGCACCGGCUAACUACGUG